rnacentral:rRNA from 1 species
AUUGAACGCUGGCGGCAUGCCUUACACAUGCAAGUCGAACGGUAACAGGUUAAGCUGACGAGUGGCGAACGGGUGAGUAAUAUAUCGGAACGUGCCCAGUUGUGGGGGAUAACUGCUCGAAAGAGCAGCUAAUACCGCAUACGACCUGAGGGUGAAAGCGGGGGAUCGCAAGACCCCGCGCAAUUGUAGCGGCCGAUAUCAGAUUAGCUAGUUGGCGGGGUAAAAGCCCACCAAGGCGACGAUCUGUAGCUGGUCUGAGAGGACGACCAGCCACACUGGGACUGAGACACGGCCCAGACUCCUACGGGAGGCAGCAGUGGGGAAUUUUGGACAAUGGACGCAAGUCUGAUCCAGCCAUGCCGCGUGCGGGAAGAAGGCCUUCGGGUUGUAAACCGCUUUUGUCAGGGAAGAAACGGCUUUUUCUAAUACAGAGAGCUAAUGACGGUACCUGAAGAAUAAGCACCGGCUAACUACGUGCCAGCAGCCGCAGUAA